AUCGUAGCCUUAAAUAUAAUCGACUAGGUUAAAAAUGAACCUAAGGUUUUCAAAUUAGCAAUUUCUUUUGCUUAAGCUCUCAAAUACUCUACAGCACUUAAAGCUUCUUUAAAAAUUCUCAACAUCACUAAGAACAUCAUCUAUAAGCUUAAUACUGCUGACAGCAUGAACUAGAAUAAUGAAAACUUACUGCUCCAGUAACCCAACUAGCAUAUUCACUACAGAGAUGGGGAGAAUAAACCACUGAGAGUAUAACCGACUUGCUCGAUGUUGCACAACACCGUUGGAUCACUGGAGAAACCAAGUUUGGUCUUAUCUAUACUGAAAGGAUUAUAGGUAUUUUCACCACUGAAGAUUGAAGUCCUUGCAUCAUAACUAUCAUACUUACAUCAGGAUGUCCUGCCACCUUGAUUAAUUCAGCAACAGCAUUCUUAACUGAAGUUGGGUCUCUCACAUCACACUGGAUUGCAUGAACCUAUAUAUUAAAUGGAGAAAAAGGCAAUUGUAAGACUUUAUAAAAAUAUUACUCAUGAGACAAAGAAUUUUUUUAAAUUCUUUAAAAUGCAGUAAAAACUAAUAAAAAUACAAACUUAUCUAAAAAUAUACCUUGUUUCCUGUUUUAGAAGAAAUUUCUUCCGCAGU